GACGAACGCUUGCGGCGUGCUUAACACAUGCAAGUCGAACGGAAAGGCCCUGCUUUUGUGGGGUGCUCGAGUGGCGAACGGGUGAGUAACACGUGAGUAACCUGCCCUUGACUUUGGGAUAACUUCAGGAAACUGGGGCUAAUACCGGAUAGGAGCUCCUGCUGCAUGGUGGGGGUUGGAAAGUUUCGGCGGUUGGGGAUGGACUCGCGGCUUAUCAGCUUGUUGGUGGGGUAGUGGCUUACCAAGGCUUUGACGGGUAGCCGGCCUGAGAGGGUGACCGGCCACAUUGGGACUGAGAUACGGCCCAGACUCCUACGGGAGGCAGCAGUGGGGAAUAUUGCACAAUGGGCGGAAGCCUGAUGCAGCAACGCCGCGUGCGGGAUGACGGCCUUCGGGUUGUAAACCGCUUUCGCCUGUGACGAAGCGUGAGUGACGGUAAUGGGUAAAGAAGCACCGGCUAACUACGUGCCAGCAGCCGCGGUGAUACGUAGGGUGCGAGCGUUGCCCGGAUUUAUUGGGCGUAAAGGGCUCGUAGGUGGUUGAUCGCGUCGGAAGUGUAAUCUUGGGGCUUAACCCUGAGCGUGCUUUCGAUACGGGUAGACUUGAGGAAGGUAGGGGAGAAUGGAAUUCCUGGUGGAGCGGUGGAAUGCGCAGAUAUCAGGAGGAACACCAGCGGCGAAGGCGGCCCUCUGGGCCUUUCCUGACGCUGAGGAGCGAAAGCGUGGGGAGCGAACAGGCUUAGAUACCCUGGUAGUCCACGCUGUAAACGGUGGGUACUAGGUGUGGGGUCCAUUCCACGAGUUCCGUGCCGUAGCUAACGCUUUAAGUACCCCGCCUGGGGAGUACGGCCGCAAGGCUAAAACUCAAAGGAAUUGACGGGGCCCCGCACAAGCGGCGGAGCAUGCGGAUUAAUUCGAUGCAACGCGUAGAACCUUACCUGGGUUUGACAUGGAUCGGGAGUGCUCAGAGAUGGGUGUGCCUCUUUUGGGGUCGGUUCACAGGUGGUGCAUGGCUGUCGUCAGCUCGUGUCGUGAGAUGUUGGGUUAAGUCCCGCAACGAGCGCAACCCUUGUUCACUGUUGCCAGCACGUUAUGGUGGGGACUCAGUGGAGACCGCCGGGGUCAACUCGGAGGAAGGUGGGGAUGACGUCAAGUCAUCAUGCCCCUUAUGUCCAGGGCUUCACGCAUGCUACAAUGGCUGGUACAGAGAGUGGCGAGCCUGUGAGGGUGAGCGAAUCUCGGAAAGCCGGUCUCAGUUCGGAUUGGGGUCUGCAACUCGACCUCAUGAAGUCGGAGUCGCUAGUAAUCGCAGAUCAGCAACGCUGCGGUGAAUACGUUCCCGGG
rnacentral:rRNA from 1 species